UACAGAGGUCCCAAGCGUUGUUCGGAUUCACUGGGCGUAAAGGGUGCGUAGGUGGUGAGGUAAGUCGGAUGUGAAAUCUCCGAGCUCAACUCGGAAAUGGCAUUGGAAACUACCUUGCUAGAGGGUUGGAGGGGGGACUGGAAUACUUGGUGUAGCAGUGAAAUGCGUAGAUAUCAAGUGGAACACCAGUGGCGAAGGCGGGUCUCUGGGCCGUAACUGACGCUGAGGAGCGAAAGCGUGGGGAGCGAACAGG
rnacentral:rRNA from 1 species